GAUGAACGCUAGCGGCAGGCCUAACACAUGUAAGUCGAGGGGUAGCAGGAUUAAGCUUGCUUAAUUGCUGACGACCGGCGCACGGGUGCGUAACGCGUAUGCAACCUACCUUAUACUGGGGUAUAGCCCGGAGAAAUUCGGAUUAAUCCCCCAUAGUACUAAUGAAUCGCAUGGUUUAUUAGUUAAAGCAUUGCGGUAUAAGAUGGGCAUGCGUCCUAUUAGCUAGAUGGUGAGGUAACGGCUCACCAUGGCUACGAUAGGUAGGGGGCCUGAGAGGGUGGUACCCCACACUGGUACUGAGACACGGACCAGACUCCUACGGGAGGCAGCAGUGAGGAAUAUUGGUCAAUGGGCGCAAGCCUGAACCAGCCAUGCCGCGUGCAGGAAGAAUGCCCUAUGGGUUGUAAACCGCUUUUAUUUGGGAAUAAACCUCUUUACGUGUAGAGAGCUGAAGGUACCAAAUGAAUAAGCACCGGCUAACUACGUGCCAGCCGCCGCAGUAA
rnacentral:rRNA from 1 species